ensembl:lncRNA
GCAUGGUUUAUUUGUGAAGUGUCCUGAGACAGGUGAGGGAGCGAGUGGACAGGGAGGACAUCAAACUCAAACAAAUACAUUCUGCAUUAGCCAAGAGAAAACAGUGGGGAAAAAAUGAGUACAUUACAGUUUUUCCAAUAUAUUUUUUAAAUGUUAUAUUGUCAAUGAAACAACCUAAUUUCUGUAGUUUAUUUUUUUGACGCAAGUUAAAAAUGAAAUGCAUAAAUUGUAUACAUUAUUAAUUUUUAGUGUGUCAUUUAUUCGUAUAUAAGCCUGAGUACUUUCUGUACAUUUUGUAUUUUUGUUUUGCAUAUUCACAUGUGUAAAUAAAAGAAAAGUGCUUAUGUACAUUGUUAAUUUUUUUUUAAUGUAGCUUAUAAUUUUUUUUCACAAAACAUUAUUUUAUAUGUUUAUUUGUUUGUCCUGUAAAUACUUUUUUACACAUUAAAACAAAUUGUUCUAUACAUAACAGAAAGUACUUUUUACAACCAUUUACAACAUAGCUUAGGUUUAACAUCAGAAAACAACAUCAGUUUGAGCCCGGCCCAGCCUCCAUGAGUUCUGGGGUCUUCGGGAGGUCAAUCUCUUGGUGAAUGGCCAGCACCUCCUCAGAGACUCAGAGGACAGUGCGGUGGACAGUGGAACGAGGGACAUGUCAAACACUCUGGAGACCAUCUGUAUGAUGUACCGCUGGCAGACAGAAGAGAAACACCAGGGUCUGGAUCUUGGCACACCAUCACUGUUGCCGUUCACUUCGCAGCAGAUCCAGCAGCACAGUCAGGGCCUCCCUGCUCAGAACAAAACCAUUAAACACCUGUCCAGCACUGCCACAUUCAGCUCUAUCCUGCAGUACAGGGGUCUGGCCUCAGUCUUGGCUAAGCCUGAGGUUCAUCACCGUCUCCUCCAUUAUGAGUAAAUCAUAAAAACAAAAACGAGCAGUUCUGGCUCCACCUGUCCUGGCAGGACUGUCCUCUCGUCAGCGCUCUUCUCGCACCGUUGCUAUGCGACAGAGCGCUAAUCGGAAACACCUGGUGACGGGAUUAGGAAAUCCUGUGAAGGCGGAGCAUCUCACGCACUUCGGAGCACCCUUCGUGCACUUCGGAGGUCUGGUCUUCGAAGUCCGUGGCCUUCGAAGUGUGCACACUCAACUUUGGGACACAGCUCUUGUUUCUUUUUCUUCUUCACUUGUGUUUUUUUGGAAAUUCUGUACAGAAGAUGUGUACUAGCGCCCACUACCGUAUAACAAUGAAAACACGGAUUCUAGGAGCACAAGUAUAGCUCAAACAUAUUUAGACUUUUUGUAAGUAUAAGUCAAGUAUACUUAAAUGUCAUUUUAAGUUUAUUUCUGAGGAGUAAAUAAAGCCCAUUUCUGAGAAGUACAUAAAAAGUAAACUAAAAGCAUACUUUCCUAUUUUUAGUUUAAAAGAAGUAUACUAAUAGCACACCUGAAUAAAUUUCUUUUUCGUAAGGGUUCUACAGAUUCACUCUUCAUUUGUGCAAUUAUAUUAAAAUACCUUUACCUGCUAAAAAAAGUAUAAACUCUCAAUCAGAUGACGGAAGGCAUGUAGAAUGUGUGCAGUGGGUUUUUCAGCAAAGUUUUG